rnacentral:rRNA from 1 species
UACGUAUGGUGCAAGCGUUAUCCGGAUUUACUGGGUGUAAAGGGAGCGCAGGCGGCACGGCAAGCCUGAUGUGAAAGCCUGCGGCCCAACCGCGGGACUGCAUUGGGAACUACCGGGCUGGAGUGCCGGAGAGGUAGGCGGAAUUCCUAGUGUAGCGGUGAAAUGCGUAAAUAUUAGGAGGAACACCAGUGGCGAAGGCGGCCUACUGGACGGUGACUGACGCUGAGGCUCGAAAGCGUGGGGAGCAAACAGG